AGUGAACGCUGGCGGUAGGCCUAACACAUGCAAGUCGAACGGCAGCACAGUAAGAGCUUGCUCUUACGGGUGGCGAGUGGCGGACGGGUGAGGAAUACAUCGGAAUCUACUUUUUCGUGGGGGAUAACGUAGGGAAACUUACGCUAAUACCGCAUACGACCUACGGGUGAAAGCAGGGGAUCUUCGGACCUUGCUCGAUUUAAUGAGCCGAUGUCGGAUUAGCUAGUUGGCGGGGUAAAGGCCCACCAAGGCGACGAUCCGUAGCUGGUCUGAGAGGAUGAUCAGCAACACUGGAACUGAGACACGGUCAAGACUCCUACGGGAGGCAGCAGUGGGGAAUAUUGGACAAUGGGCGCAAGCCUGAUCCAGCCAUACCGCGUGGGUGAAGAAGGCCUUCGGGUUGUAAAGCCCUUUUGUUGGGAAAGAAAAGCAGCAGGUUAAUACCCCGCUGUUCUGACGGUACCCAAAGAAUAAGCACCGGCUAACUUCGUG
rnacentral:rRNA from 1 species